CUCUCCCUGGUCCACGGAGCUUCUCCUUGCGACUUGUGAGCUAUCCCCUACCCCCGGCUCCUACUUUCCUCAUCCCUCACUACUCCAGGAGAAAACUGAGAGUCCAAAGAGGGGAAGUUAUUUGGGCAAUAUUGGGGAGCCAUUAAGUGAUCCAGGUGCCUUGAGUCCUGUGAUUCCACCUGAGCUGCUCUCAUCCUCAGCCUUCAUCCUACCCAAGGUUUGCUGGGAGGGGAAGAGAUAUAAUGAGGGGAAGAGGCAGAGAAUGGCUCCUUUCUGUCUAAGGAGAGCCGGGGAAGGAGGCAAUGCUUCCCACCGACCUGACCCCCUGGAUUCUGUUUGGGGUUGCUCCCGUGGGAGAUUACAGGAUAAAAAAGGUAGACCGAGUCCUCUGGCCUGGACCGCUCCUUCUUGUGGCCACCUCUACAGAGGGGGAGCUACCAGGGGACCGGAACCAAACCUCGCCCUGCCCGGCCCACUGAGGCCCCCCAGACUCCAGUGCUAGAGACAAGGCAAUUGGCAGAAGGUGAGGCUGGGACGAGCGCUGGAGUUGGGAGCAGAGGUUGGGUUUCUGCUUUGCCAUUUGCUAUCCGUGGGAUCUGAGGUAAGUCACAGCUUCCACGAAUCUCACUUUCUUCCUCUAUGGGAUGAGGGUUUUAGAUCACAGGGUCAUAGCUUUCAAGCUGGAAGGGACCUCAGAUGGCAUUGAGUCCAACCUCCUCAUUUUACAGAUGGGAAAACUGAGGCCCAGAGAGGCUGACUGUAUUAUCUCUAAGGUCUCUUCUAUCUUGAAACCCUACCAGUGACCCUGGAGGUCACAACAUUGCCCCUAGAAGGGACUUGUGGAAAUACUGAUAUUCUCUGUGGGAGGGAAAAGCUAUGAAAUAAUCACCUACAAAGCCCUCUGAGAUUGGAUAACAGAGUGCAGGGCCCUGAAGGGCUCAGAGACUCAGGUUGGGGAGGUUCUGAAUGGCAGAGGCAGUGUGGGAGGCAGGGGAGGGAGUGGAAGAAUAGGGAGGGAGUUAGAGGGAGGGGACUCAGAGUACCUAGUUCAUGUCAAAGGGCAGUAGGAAGCCCAGAGAGUAUAUGCACAGGGUGGUGCAGGGAGGCAGGGCAGAUUUUCCAGAAGAGAGCCUUGAUGGCCCAUGAAGUCCAAGGACAAUUUCAGGGUAACUUUGGGCUCUGAGUGAUUUUCCAAGUUUCCAAAUAAUGUGGGGAGUAGGAGAGAAGAGAGGAUAGGCCCCACUUCUAUUUGCAGGGUUUGCUGUUAAUCAGCUCCUCCCUGAACUAGGACUUGAGUCCCCUUCUCUGAGAACUUUUCAGGGUCAUGGAGGCUCCUCCUUCUUCACCGGUUUUGGAGAUGAGCAGGGCCUCUUACUCCCUGCCCCUUCUCCUCCACCCCAGAUGUCCCCAAGUCCCCAUAGCUUGCCUCCAGCCGGUGACCUUGUGGCCCUGCCAGCCACUGGAUGCCCAGUCCCCCACCCCACCCCGGGGGGGCCUCUUCGGUCAGCCCCAGGUGAUCGGUUCCUGCCCUCCCCCCCCCAUUAAAAGUGGCUUGGACUGCUGCUGAGCCCCAUCUCCUCCCGCAUCAGCCCUGCUUCCCAGAGCCCACCAACGCCGUGAAGCUCUGGCCAAACAUUUUCCCUUCUCUGGGCCCCAAUAUUUUCCUAUAGAAAUUGGAGGGGGCCAGACGGCGAGACCUCCAGCUUAACAUUCCAGACUAAAAAUGAUAUGAACGCGAAUUUUAGAAGCCGAGUCUUACAACUGCGAGGGCUCCCCGAAGGUCAAUUCAUUCAUCCCUCUGCAGCAGGCUGAGUAGGUGGCAGCACCUAUAUGUAGUCAGGAAUUACUCCUGGCUUUCAGGGUCAGGCAGGGCAAGAGAGGAGGAAAUUGGUCCCUUCCUGACGACCCGCGCCCAGGCUACCUCCUAGCACUGACUUCAAUUUCUCCCUUCUUCCCCCUUCUUCCCCUUCCAUGGGCCUGGACAGAUGGGUUUCUGAACGGAGGACGGAGAGGAAAGCCGGGGGGGGGGGUCUCAACCCUUCUCUGCUUUCCUUCCUUCCUUCUUUCCUUCCCUCCCUCCCAGAGUCCUUCAGCACUGUGGCAAGCACCUUGUUACAUUUAGAGAGCUAGGAAGCGGCACAAUCAGUUGGAAGUACGGAACAUCUGAGAGGAACCCCAUUCUAGUUCCUCAUCUCCACCCCCACCCCCAUCAAACCCUACUUGGCAAUCUCUGGAGAAGCAAGUCCCCUCCUCAGUCACCACAGGAUGUCUUGGGGGCCCUCCCCGGGUUCCCUCUGGGCCCUUUCCCCCUGCCUCCUUGGUUUGGUCCUUCUCAGUUUCUCUCUCCUACCUCCCAGGGCAGUGAAGAGUAUCCAGGGGCUCAUGAAGGGGGCAAUACUUUGGAAAAUUAACCAAAGGGUUAACCAAAGGGGGGGAUUGAAUCCUGGUUGUUUUAUAAUUGGGGAAACUGGGGGGAAGGGACUUGUCCAAGGCCACUUCCAGAUGGUAGCCUAUCCCCUGCCUCCGGACUCACAGACCAUAGAAAAGUCCCCUCCCUGGGCCUUGGUUUCCCCAACUAUGACAGGAAGAGGUUGGCUAGAUGAGCUUUAAGAUCUCUUCCAUCUCCCAGAUUCUGUGGGGUGCCAAGAAGACUCCCCGAGCCCUUGAGAAAAGGGCUGGGGAGGGCUGAAGGAGCAGAACUUCCUGGGGACCUCGGGGCGGAGGGCGGGGUUUACAAGGUUGCUGUCUUGGAAGAUGGGGGCACAAUCACACAGGACUCUUUCCAUUGUCUAGAGGGGCCCAUUGAGGCAUGGAGCUGAGGAUUCAAGGCCCCAAGACCUAUAAAGCUGCCCCCCUUUCAGGGGAGAGAUGGCUAUUCAGCAAUGGAAGGCUGUACUCAGGCCAGAACACACAAAUACACCCCCACUCUCUCCCUCACUCCCUUUCUCUCUUCUCUGAUUCUCUUUCUUUCUUGUUCUCUCUCUCUCUCUCUCUCUCCUCUUUUGUUCUCUCGGAUUCUUUCUCUCAUUCUCUGUUUCUCCCUCACUCCUAUUCUCUCUUAUUCUCUCUGCAUGCCCCCCUCCAUCACGUCCUCAUCCCUAGUUUCAGUUUUUCUCACUGAGGCUUACCUUAGUUUCCCCUUUUGUAAAAUGAGGUUAGACUGGAUCACUUCUGAGGUCCGUUUCCACAAUUCUAUGAUCCUGUUCUUUCUUUCUCCUCCCCUCCAUCUCCUUCUCCUUCAUCUCCUUUCUCUCUUUUUCCGUUCCUGUCUGUGUCUGCCUGUCCAUCCGUGACCGGCUGUCCAUCUGUGUCCGUCUGUCUCAGUUUGCCCGUGAUUGCCCGUCCAUUUGUGUCCGUCUGUCUGUCUGCCCGUCCGUCUCUAUGUCUCUCUUUCUCCUCCAGGACUGCCCCUCGCCUCUCGCCUCCAGCUCCCUGGCCUCUCUUCUGACGGCAGGCCUGCAGUGCCACACUCCGUGUAUUUGACAAGCUGAGUCGGACACUCCGUGUGGUAGAGUGUCAGUUUGUCAAAUACCCCAAGUGAGGCAUUUGCCUAGCAACCCCGGACUGGGGCCGAGUGGAUGACCAGCGGACCGCCUUGCCAGCCUCGGAUCUCCGGGCCCUGACCUCCAGAAAGCAGACGUCAACUCAAUCAAGGGGGCAGCUGCAGGUGGUGCUCUCGGCUUGGCCCGAGGUGUUUGGGAAGUGGUUGGAGACACAGAAAAUGGAAGGGGAGGGAAGGCAAGAAAGCUAAGCUUGAGUCCCACCUGUGCUAUUUCCUAGCAGCAUGACCUUGAGUAAGUCCCUUCCCCUUCAGUUAACACAUCUAUUAAAUGGGCUCCGAUGAGAAACCAGUGAGAAAACGUACAUAAAGUGCUUUGUAAACUGUGGCGCACUAGAUAAAAAUUUGCUUUUAAUAAUACCAAGGCUUCGGAGGUCUUCUCCCAUUCUAGGAGUAGCCACUCUUCAACCUCAUGACCUGGCUCCGUGGGGCUGGGCCCAGCAGGCUAUAUAAAGGUCAUCCAAGCCCUAUGGUCCCCCGCAUUGGGAUGAGGGAGAAGGAAGAACUGAAGUCACCUCCUUGGGCCCUGUGUUACCUUGCUAAAAUAAUUUCUGUUUAAGUCCCAACUUCUCCAAAUGGAGACAAUAAUCCCUGCCUCGACUACUCUUCAAGGCUGUUAGGAGAACCAAAUGACAGCCAUGUGUAUAAACUAGAAAGUGCUAGAGAGGUGGGAGUUAACAUUACUCUGCUAUUAUCAUUCCUGCUUAUUCUCUGUUAGAAUGGAAGCUCCUCGAAGCAGAGACUGUUUUGCUUUUGUUAUUGUAGCUGAAAUACAGCAGGCACUUAAUAAAUGCUUGUUGAUGGAUUGCCCUGGGGUGCCAGAAAGCUGCUGGUAUUGUCUAUGGACACAGUCACUCCUCUUCCUAAAUCCCCUGUUGCUACUGAGGGGACAGUCAUCUAAGUGUCAUCCUGGCCUCCUGAGUCAUUCUCACACUCUGUAUCCAUACCUUUGCCAAGGCUUGUCCACCACAUCUCACUUGGGCCCUACCCAUAAUCCCUUACUCUGGCCCUACCCAUCAUCCUUCACCUGAGCCCUAGCCACCAGUUCUCGUGGGCCCUGCCCAACAUCCCUCACAGUGGCUCACACAGCCACUUCUCGUGUCCUUUUACCUGGACUAUCUCCACAGCCUCUUGAUUGGUCUUUUUGUCUCAUGUUUUUCUCUGGAUCCAACUCCUGUUUCACAUGACUGGGAAAGCGAUAAUCCCAAAGCCUGGGACUCACCAUGUCACUCUUUUGUUAAUAAACCCCAGUGACUCUCUAACGACUCUAAAAUUCAGGGCAAACUCCUCCGAUAUUUAAAGGCCUUCAGGCUGGCUCUGAGUCUAUUUCUCCAGG
rnacentral:lncRNA from 1 species